CUAGCUAGAAAGGCAGUCGGCACUGAUAGCCAUAGGGGGGACCCCUCACCUCAAAUAACGUUAUAUUUCAAAAGGAAGCAGGUAGCAAAUUGAACAGAAGACAUGACCUUAUUAUCUGCGGCAAAAAUGUAUAAUUUAGCUAGCUAACGUAUCUUUCAGAYUUAAGACUAGAGCUACUAGCGUUUGUUUUGUUUUCGCCAACUGUGAGGUCCUCAUACACUGAGAAACAGUGAUAAAGACGAGUUUGGUUAUCCACCGUCCAUCAUAAUGAGAGAUGGGGUUGCACAAGAGACGGCCGCUGUCCACCGCACGGUGGUGCUGAACAUCAGAUCGCGGGAUUCCGCUUCAGUCGCUGUCUGUUAAAAUUGUGUUGAAUAGCCAAUAGCGUCUGUUUUCUUGUUGUUCAGGUAGGACUACUUUAGCAGAAUCGUUUUUUUGGCCGACAGCUGUGACAAAUCCACCACAUAGAUCUACAAAGUAGCACAUGAAGAUCAUGGUUUGUAGACAGUUCAGACAGACCGUCUGUGCUGUGUCCACAGUUCAGACACGUUUAGAUAGCAGCCUAACCUAGAACUUGGACAGAUUUUUGCACUUUUUGUUUUUUGUUUUACAAAUUUGACUGAAUAUCAAACGACAAGAAAGUAGGUCUAUUUUGGCAGAUUUGUGUUAGACUCUUUUCAACAAACCGUUUAUACAAUGUCUACAGAUAGGUUAACAAGCUUAAUUUGAUUAACACUUUAUAGGCUAUGAUGAUAAUAACAUUAACAACACUUGUAUAUAACAGGACUUGGAAGAUAGUCACCAAGAGAAAGGGAUGGAGGAGGAGGUAAAGGAAGAAGAGCCAGUUGCUCAGCUGAAGGAAUAGUGGAAGGACAAGUCUGGCAAGGACUUGGAAGGUAGUCAUCAGAAGAAAGGGAUGGAGGAGAAGGUAAGAAGAAGAGCCCGUUGCUCAGCUGAAGGAAGAGAGAACGGUCAAAUGGAAAUCAAGUGCCAAGAAGACCUCAGCCGAACGUGACACUGAAGCAGGUCCCUCUGUGGCAUUCUCUUUGGAUWAAUACCAAAACAGGGCAGCAGUAAUUCAACUCUUACAGGAGGAACUUCUCAAUAGUCUACUUCACCCCUCA